ACUACGGGUGGCUGCAGUGGGGGAUAUUGCACAAUGGGGGGAACCCUGAUGCAGCGACGCCGCGUGGGUGAAGGAGCGUUUCGGCGCGUAAAGCCCUAUCGGCAGGGAAGAAGAUGACGGUACCUGACCAAGAAGCCCCGGCUAACUACGUGCCAGCAGCCGCGGUAAUACGUAGGGGGCAAGCGUUAUCCGGAUUUACUGGGUGUAAAGGGGGCGCAGACGGCAAUGCAAGCCAGGAGUGAAAGCCCGGGGCGCAACCCCGGGACUGCUCGUGGAAAUGCAUGGCUGGAGUACAGGAGGGGCAGGGGGAAUUCGGGGUGUAGCGGUGAAAUGCGUAGAUAUUAGGAGGA
rnacentral:rRNA from 1 species